CGUAAAGCGCAUGCAGGUGGUUUGUUAAGUCAGAUGUGAAAGACCCGGGGCGUUAACCUCGGAAUAGCAUUUGAAACUAGGCAGACUAGAGUACUGUAGAGGGGGGUAGGAAUUUCAGGUGUAGCGGUGAAAUAGCGUAGAGAUCUGAAGGAAUACCGGUGGCGAAGGCGGCCCCCUCGGACAGAUACUGACACUCAGAUGCGAAAGCGUGGGGAGCAAACAGGAUUAGAUACCCUGGUAG
rnacentral:rRNA from 1 species